GAAAUGCGAUACGUAAUGUGAAUUGCAGGAUUCAGUGAAUCAUCAAAAUCUUGAACGCACAUGGCGCCCUCGAGUCUCCGGAUUCUGGGGCAUACCUGUUUGAGUGUCACUUACCCCUCCUCACAACCACACGGCUUCGUGCCGCGUGCUCUUGUGGACGUUGACCGUUGUGCGACGCCUCGCGGCAGAGCACAUCGGUUUAAAAAGAGCGGUGAGAAGUUGCUGGACAACUCCUCGAACAAUGGCUGGGUAAGUUCUUCGGAACAAACUAGCUUUUGGUCUUGGGCUCAAGCUGUCUGCAGCAUCUUGCCUGCGCAGGAUUGCAGCAUCGGUGCGGUGUGUGAAGACCCUCGGGUCGGAUCGCCCGUCUGGCGCGGCAACGCAAACCCGUUGACCUCAA
rnacentral:misc_RNA from 1 species